CUUAUGGGCCUCUGAAUCGGGCAGCACCUUGCAGAAGGAUGGGCCUGAGGAACACACUGAACAGCAGCAUGCCGUGUCGUCAGCAGAUCCAGGCUGCAGUGAAGCCUGCCAGAUCAAAGAAGCUGUCCAGAAAUGCAAGUCAGUGAUGGAUCAACAUCAGGAGAGCAUCAUUCAGAGGAACAUCAGGGGACACACCGAGGGCUUCCAGAAUCUGCCACAGGUUAUGUCUAGACCUGGGUCGUGAUGACUAGGGCAUCUGCCUGAUUAUCGUGAAGCUAAACAUUUAUUUUGCAAGACUUUCUGUAUCUUGAUUUAUUGUGCAAAAGAAGUUUGUUAGAAAAGGGGAGAAAAGUGAUUCUAAAGCAAUUUUGUAACCUCUUUUUAUAAAACGGAGAUGGUUGUUUCUACUGAAGCAAUUACAGAAUCACACCGUUCUGAAGGCGGGAAAGGCUGCCGCUCCUCCCUGGGGCUGGCCCCCGUACCUGGUAUCUUCACUGUGCCACUGGUGGAGGUGUCGUCAGUGUAAGGGUGGCUACUCUCCACCACCACAGGCUGAGAAGAGAGACGGCCGCUCUGCGAGUCUGUGGCCACAUCCUCCAACUCGGUGACGCAGAGCUCCAACAGCAUAUCUGCCACCUGGGGAGGACGCAAGGACAAGAAUGAGGAGGCCAACAGCCCCACACCUGGUCACCUGCAUGCCACCUCUGUCCGUCCUGCUCCGGAGCUCCAAGAGGACAGUGUGGCAGAGUGGAGGGCUUGGAGUUUGAGAAAUUGAGUUCAAAUCAGGGCUUGGCUUCCUUGCACAUAAAACAGAGACAGCACAGAGCCUGUAAGGUGCUGUGAAGCUUAGAGACGAUCUGUAUUAAAAAGUCGUUGGGGCCAGGCACAGUGGCUCACGCCUGUAAUCCCAGCACUUUGGGAGGCCGAGGCAGGCAGAUCACCUGAGGUGAGGAGUUCAAGAUCAGCCUGACCAACAUGGAGAAACAUCUCUACUAAAAAUAAAAAAUUAGUCGGGCGUGGUGGUGCAUGCCUGUAAUCCUAGCUACUCAGGAGGCUGAGGCAGGAGAAUCGCUUGAACCUGGGAGGCAGAGGAAGUCAUUGGAUGGAGCACAGUGGCUCACACCUGUAAUACAAGCACUUUGGGAAGCCGAGGCAGGCAGAUCACUGGAGGUCAGGAGUUCAAGACCAGCCUGGCCAAUAUGGUGAAACCCCAUCUCUACUAAAAAUACAAACAAUUAGCUGGGGAUGGUGGCCCGUGCCUGUAGUCCCACCUACCCAGGAGGCUGAGGCAGGAGAAUCGCCUGAACUCAGGAGGUGAAGGUUGCAGUGAGCUGAGAUCAUGCUACUGCGCUCCAGCCUGAGCGACAGAGAGAGACUCUGUCUCCAAAAAAGAAAAAGUAGAAGAAGUAGUUGGAAGGCUCCCAACACACGCAACACUUAAUAUGUGCCAGCUGAUAAAAUGAAACACCGUGGUGACAAUAGCUUCAUUUUAUACCAAGACAAGAUUACUUCCUAGUGAGGGAAGUUGGCCUCAGAAACAAAAAUAUCAAGAGAAGGAGCACCCAGUUGUGAAAACGACCACAAUCCUAGAAGGCAACGGUGCGCAGUGGGAGGGGCGGGAAUCAGGAACCAUCAAGCCGCCCAGGCCAGACAGAGUCAGGGAGAGUCUGUGACAGGAGGGGCCACCGAUCCCAACACAGCUGCCCCUCCUGACCCAGUACACUAGGGGUCAGACCCAUACCACAUUCUCAACAAUCCACAGUGUUCUUAUUCUAUUUUAAAAAUUAUUGAUGAUUCACAUCUUUUACGAUUAAGGCUAAGAGUGGUGAUUAUAAACUCUGUUAUUUUUAAAAAUAAAUGAGAGAAUACGUCAUAA